rnacentral:piRNA from 1 species
GACCAUUCUCCUAAGGGGCCAGGACAGUC